rfam:Pseudoalteromonas citrea DSM 8771 strain NCIMB 1889 contig177, whole genome shotgun sequence.
AAAACGGCUUUUUUUGAAGCCAGCUACAGAAUAAAAGAUAGUUUAG